rnacentral:rRNA from 1 species
AGUGAACGCUGGCGGUAGGCCUAACACAUGCAAGUCGAACGGCAGCACAGUAAGAGCUUGCUCUUACGGGUGGCGAGUGGCGGACGGGUGAGGAAUACAUCGGAAUCUACUUUUUCGUGGGGGAUAACGUAGGGAAACUUACGCUAAUACCGCAUACGACCUACGGGUGAAAGCAGGGGAUCUUCGGACCUUGCGCGAUUGAAUGAGCCGAUGUCGGAUUAGCUAGUUGGCGGGGUAAAGGCCCACCAAGGCGACGAUCCGUAGCUGGUCUGAGAGGAUGAUCAGCCACACUGGAACUGAGACACGGUCCAGACUCCUACGGGAGGCAGCAGUGGGGAAUAUUGGGCAAUGGGCGCAAGCCUGAUCCAGCCAUACCGCGUGGGUGAAGAAGGCCUUCGGGCUGUAAAGCCCUUUUGUUGGGAAAGAAAAGCAGCAGGUUAAUACCCCGCUGUUCUGACGGUACCCAAAGAAUAAGCACCGGCUAACUUCGUG